GAUAAACGCUGGCGGCGUGCCUAAUACAUGCAAGUCGAGCGAACAGAUAAGGAGCUUGCUCCUUUGACGUUAGCGGCGGACGGGUGAGUAACACGUGGGUAACCUACCUAUAAGACUGGAAUAACUCCGGGAAACCGGGGCUAAUGCCGGAUAACAUUUAGAACCGCAUGGUUCUAAAGUGAAAGAUGGUUUUGCUAUCACUUAUAGAUGGACCCGCGCCGUAUUAGCUAGUUGGUAAGGUAACGGCUUACCAAGGCAACGAUACGUAGCCGACCUGAGAGGGUGAUCGGCCACACUGGAACUGAGACACGGUCCAGACUCCUACGGGAGGCAGCAGUAGGGAAUCUUCCGCAAUGGGCGAAAGCCUGACGGAGCAACGCCGCGUGAGUGAUGAAGGUCUUCGGAUCGUAAAACUCUGUUAUUAGGGAAGAACAAAUGUGUAAGUAACUGUGCACGUCUUGACGGUACCUAAUCAGAAAGCCACGGCUAACUACGUG
rnacentral:rRNA from 1 species